rnacentral:rRNA from 1 species
GAUAAACGCUAGCGGCAGGCUUAACACAUGCAAGUCGAGGGGCAGCAUAGAUUGUAGCAAUACAAUUGGUGGCGACCGGCGCACGGGUGCGUAACGCGUAUGCAACCUACCCGUCACAGGGGGAUAAUCCGGAGAAAUCUGGUCUAAUACCCCAUAACAUAUGGAUCGGCAUCGGUUCAUGGUGAAAUUUUCGGAGGUGACGGAUGGGCAUGCGUAGCAUUAGCUUGUUGGUGAGGUAACGGCUCACCAAGGCGACGAUGCUUAGGGGGACUGAGAGGUUUUCCCCCCACACUGGUACUGAGACACGGACCAGACUCCUACGGGAGGCAGCAGUGAGGAAUAUUGGUCAAUGGGCGCAAGCCUGAACCAGCCAUGCCGCGUGCAGGAUGACGGCUCUAUGAGUUGUAAACUGCUUUUGUACGAGGGUAAAGUGGGUUACGUGUAACCUUUUGAAAGUAUCGUACGAAUAAGGAUCGGCUACUCCGUGCCAGCCGCCGCGGUAA